GUAGGUGGCAAGCGUUGUCCGGAAUUAUUGGGCGUAAAGCGCGCGCAGGCGGUUCGUUUAAGUCUGAUGUGAAAGCCCACGGGCUCAACCGUGGAGGGUCAUUGGAAACUGGAGAACUUGAGUACAGAAGAGGAAAGCGGGAUUCCACGUGUAGCGGUGAAGUGCGUAGAGAUGUGGAGGAACACCAGUGGCGAAGGCGGCUUUCUGGUCUGUAACUGACGCUGAGGCGCGAAAGCGUGGGGAGCAAACAGGAUUAGAUACCCUGGUAGUCCACGCCGUAAACGAUGAGUGCUAAGUGUUAGGGGGUUUCCGCCCCUUAGUGCUGCAGCUAACGCAUUAAGCACUCCGCCUGGGGAGUACGGCCGCAAGGCUG
rnacentral:rRNA from 1 species